UACGAGGGGUGCAAACGUUAUUCGGAUUCAUUGGGUGUAAAGGGUGUGUAGACGGUUUAUUAAGUUCGUUGUUAAAACUUUCGGCCUAACCGAAAGCUCGCAGUGAAAACUGAUAGACUAGAGGGUGAAAGAGAGGAGUGGAAUUCUCGGAGUAGCGGUAAAAUGCGUAGAUCUCGAGAGGAACACCGAUGGCGAAAGCAGCUCCUUGGUUCACACCUGACGUUGAAACACGAAAGCGUGGGGAGCAAACAGG
rnacentral:rRNA from 1 species